rnacentral:rRNA from 1 species
GGGGGGGGGGGGGGGGGGGGCGGGGAGAGGCAAGGCGAGCGAACAGACGAGGGGCUUGCUCCUCUGACGGUAGCGGCGGACGGGUGAGUAACACGUGGAUAACCUACCUAUAAGACUGGGAUAACUUCGGGAAACCGGAGCUAAUACCGGAUAAUAUAUUGAACCGCAUGGUUCAAUAGUGAAAGACGGUUUUGCUGUCACUUAUAGAUGGAUCCGCGCCGCAUUAGCUAGUUGGUAAGGUAACGGCUUACCAAGGCAACGAUGCGUAGCCGACCUGAGAGGGUGAUCGGCCACACUGGAACUGAGACACGGUCCAGACUCCUACGGGAGGCAGCAGUAGGGAAUCUUCCGCAAUGGGCGAAAGCCUGACGGAGCAACGCCGCGUGAGUGAUGAAGGUCUUCGGAUCGUAAAACUCUGUUAUUAGGGAAGAACAAAUGUGUAAGUAACUAUGCACGUCUUGACGGUACCUAAUCAGAAAGCCACGGCUAACUACGUG